CCUACGGAGGGGGUCACUCGUAGAAGCUCUGUGACUGUGUAUAAGGACAAAGCAGACGUUAGUUUCAGUGUCAAUAGUUCUUGUACCCUGAGGUCCUAACUCCAGCCACCAUCUAACUGCAGUUUCCACAAUGCCAAGUCAAAGUCUUUCAGAUUUACUGUGCUGGCCUGCCAUCCUCUAACUUUCGAUGGGGAGAAAAGCACAGCACAUUUAGUAACGGUGGAAAAUCUGAGGUGGCCAGCGGGUCUGCCAUCAUCUCGGGUGUCUGUGUGCUCAGCACAGAGCUGAGAAGUGGAUUUUCCAGGAACACACUGAUUGGCCCCAGAAAGAAAGGAGCUAAGUGACAGUUUCAAACGUUUUAAAAUCUACCAGUGUAUGUGAUGAGAUGGGUGUUUUAGUACAGGUUGGGAAGAAAUGGAGGAAAAAAGAUCAUCAUUGCAAGAUCCCAUGACAUCUGUGGGAUAGCAAAUGUGUAAUAGAAGGAGGGCAAAGCAUGCGCAUUUGCUGAGUCACUCGUUUACAGCUUCCCUCACCCACUCAGCCUCUUGUCUCAUGCAGGUCCUGAGCAGAUAGCAAGGACCAUAUGGAACUCUUCAGAGGUCAGAAGAAAAUACCCUCAUAUUGACACAAUUGUCAAUGCAUACUUCAGUACAUGACUACCUGACCGAUCAAUGUGAUUAUCACGAUGUUACUUACAAGGACAGAAAAAUGGGAGGCUGUGAGAACCGGGCUUACAAGUGUUAAGUGUUACCAGAAAAUCGCGCCCAUUACAAGAUGAGAGUCGGUCGCCUGCAGUAGGAAUAAAGGC